UCCGGCAUGGUCUAGUGGCUAGGAUACCUGGCUCUCACCACAGGAGGCCCGGGUUCGAUUCCCGGUGUCGGAA
rnacentral:tRNA from 1 species